AGCGAACGCUGGCGGCAGGCCUAACACAUGCAAGUCGAACGAACCUUUCGGGGUUCGUGGCGGUUGGGUGAGUAACACGUGGGAACGUGCCUUUAGGUUCGGAAUAACUCAGGGAAACUUGUGCUAAUACCGAAUGUGCCCUUCGGGGGAAAGAUUUAUCGCCUUUAGAGCGGCCCGCGUCGGAUUAGCUAGUUGGUUGAGGUAAUGGCUCACCAAGGCGACGAUCAGUAGCUGGUCUGAGAGGAUGAUCAGCCACAUUGGGACUGAGACACGGCCCAAACUCCUACGGGAGGCAGCAGUGGGGAAUCUUGCGCAAUGGGCGAAAGCCUGACGCAGCCAUGCCGCGUGAAUGAUGAAGGUCUUAGGAUUGUAAAAUUCUUUCACCGGGGACGAUAAUGACGUUACCCGGAGAAGAAGCCCCGGCUAACUUCGUG
rnacentral:rRNA from 1 species